rnacentral:rRNA from 2 species
AGAGUUUGAUCCUGGCUCAGGAUGAACGCUAGCGAUAGGCUUAACACAUGCAAGUCGAGGGGCAGCAUGGUCUUAGCUUGCUAAGACUGAUGGCGACCGGCGCACGGGUGCGUAACGCGUAUGCAACUUGCCUCACAGAGGGGGAUAACCCGUCGAAAGACGGACUAAUACCGCGUACACUCUAUGUUGGGCAUCCAAUGUAGAGGAAAUGAAAUUCGCUGUGAGAUAGGCAUGCGUCCCAUUAGCUAGUUGGUGAGGUAACGGCUCACCAAGGCGACGAUGGGUAGGGGAACUGAGAGGUUGAACCCCCACACUGGUACUGAGACACGGACCAGACUCCUACGGGAGGCAGCAGUGAGGAAUAUUGGUCAAUGGGCGAGAGCCUGAACCAGCCAAGUCGCGUGAAGGAUGACUGUCUUAUGGAUUGUAAACUUCUUUUAUACGGGAAUAACAAGAGCCACGUGUGGCUCCCUGCAUGUACCGUAUGAAUAAGCAUCGGCUAACUCCGUGCCAGCAGCCGCGGUAAUACGGAGGAUGCGAGCGUUAUCCGGAUUUAUUGGGUUUAAAGGGUGCGUAGGCGGCCUGUUAAGUCAGCGGUGAAAUCUAGGAGCUUAACUCCUAAAUUGCCAUUGAUACUGGCGGGCUUGAGUGUAGAUGAGGUAGGCGGAAUGCGUGGUGUAGCGGUGGAAUGCAUAGAUAUCACGCAGAACUCCGAUUGCGAAGGCAGCUUACUAAGGUACAACUGACGCUGAAGCACGAAAGCGUGGGUAUCAAACAGGAUUAGAUACCCUGGUAGUCCACGCAGUAAACGAUGAUAACUGGGCGUAUGCGAUAUACAGUAUGCUCCUAAGCGAAAGCGUUAAGUUAUCCACCUGGGGAGUACGCCGGCAACGGUGAAACUCAAAGGAAUUGACGGGGGCCCG